CGACAAACAGCUGUGCCAAAAUAUUCGUUGUCGUGCCUUAGAACUCAGCUGUGUUUUGUGUUCAGGAUUAAAGUUCCGAUGCAGGGUUGUAAACCGAUCCUUAACAUGAAUAUGGCUCUCAGCAACUUCUUGAAGAAAGCAACUGAAAUGGGAACAAAUUGUGUCGCAAGAUGAACAAGUAAUAUCACUUGGGCCUGUGAAUCUAAGAUAGACUUAUAGAAAAUAUUCCCAGUCGUGAUCCACCCAAAAAAGUGAUUCACUUUGGCUCUUCGCUUUAUCUCUCGACCCUGAAAAAAACAAAGGAAAUUCAACACUGUUUUCCACAGGAGUGGUCAAUCCUCCCUGGGCGUGUGCUCUGAUUCCUCAACCCUUCCCUAGCAAACGAUUUGCACCUGAAGCAUCGGGUAUUUCCAAGCGAAAUCUUCAAGGACGGUCGUUGGAAGGAUUGCCUAGAAUUCGAUCGCCGAAGUUUGUCGUUCCAAGUAAUGCCCCUGAGACAACUUUACGGCCUUUGCUAUGUUUAAAACAGGUGGUUCGAGCGAAAGAAGGUUGAAACUUUUCUUUAAAUGAUGGAUGACAUUUGAAUCCAUCAUGGAAGUAUGCAUUGGAUUGUAAAAGUAUGGUUUGGAAUUGGUUUUAUUCUUUUUCCGGGAUUUUACGUUUAUCUGAAAGCGUCAUUCCAGUGUCAUUGAUGAUGAUCGAUGGCCUUUUGGAGAUAUAAGAUGAUUAAAUUAUUUGUUUUGAUGUGUUUAGCUAGUUAAGUGAUUAAAUUAUAUGCUAUUCGUUGAUUUGAAUAAGGAAGAAAGUGAAGUAAUUUUGUACCUCAUUUACGAAUAAUAAUUGAAGCCACAUUUUAAUAUA